AUUGAACGCUGGCGGCAAGCCUAACACAUGCAAGUCGAACGAGUGGCGGACGGGUGCGUAAUGUCUGGGACACUGCCUGAUGGAGGGGGAUAACUACUGGAAACGGUAGCUAAUACCGCAUACCAUCGGAUGUUCCCAGCUGGGAUUCGCUAGUAGGUGGGGUAAAGGCUCACCUAGGCGACGAUCCCUAGCUCGUCUGAGAGGAUGACCAGCCACACUGGAACUGAGACACGGUCCAGAAUCCGACGGGAGGCAGCAGUGGGGAAUAUUGCACAAUGGGCGAAAGCCUGAUGCAGCCAUGCCGCGUGUAUGAAGAAGGCCUUCGGGUUGUAAAGUACUGUCAGCGGGGAGGCGUUACCCGCAGAGGAAGCACCGGCUAACUCCGUGCCAGCAGCCGCGGUAAUUC
rnacentral:rRNA from 1 species